rnacentral:rRNA from 1 species
UACAGAGGGUGCGAGCGUUAAUCGGAAUUACUGGGCGUAAAGCGCACGUAGGCGGCUUUGCAAGUCGGGUGUGAAAUCCCCAGGCUUAACCUGGGAACUGCAUUCGAGACUGCAUUGCUAGAGUAUGGGAGAGGGAAGUGGAAUUUCCGGUGUAGCGGUGAAAUGCGUAGAUAUCGGAAGGAACAUCAGUGGCGAAAGCGACACCCUGGACUCAUACUGACACUGAGGUGCGAAAGCGUGGGGAGCAAACAGG